rnacentral:lncRNA from 12 species
GGCAGGAGGGGACCGAACCCUCGCCGGGGCGUCUCCUGCCGCCACCAGAACUGCUCGGGGGCAGUGUCCGGGGUGCUGCGCGAUCCUGCGGGCUUCCUCCGGCACCGGCCCGAAACGUCCUCACAAAACGACCACCCGGCCAGCCUAGCCCUUCCACUGCGGUGCUCGUCAACGCGGCCGUCCCUGCCGGGAGCAGCAGGCGUCCGUGACCUACAUACGCGGGCGGCGUCCCCGGGGGGCCCGGGAGGUCCGCAGACGCCGGCCACUGCGGGGCCCCUCGGCGCUCGGAGCUGCCGGCCCCAGGUCGCGCUCGGGCUGGCCGGGGCUGGGCGGAGCGGAGCGGGCUCGAGGGGCCGCCGACGCCCGCCUGUGCCGGCCGCAGCACCACGGGCAUCGGGGUCGCGGCUCCCGCUGACGGCGGCGGGACGACACGCGCGCCGAACCGCGUCUCCGGGCGCGGACACUCGCCCGCACGAGUCGCCCUUUGGCUUGGGGCUCCGCCCGCGCUCGGGAGCUGGGGCCGUGCCACCCGCUCCCCACGGGCGCCACUUACCGGAGCGGGGCGCGCGGGCUUCGUCUCCGACGUGGGGCUCGCGGGGGGCGGCCAGACCGCGCGGGGGCGGGCGGGGGCGGGCGGGGGCUCCGGCUCCGCCGCCUCGGCGCUCACCGGCUCGCGGGGGAAGGCGCGCCCCGCCCCCGGGGUCUCCGGGCCGCGUCAGCAGCUCCGCCCGGGCAGGGGAAAGACGACGAGGGGCUGGGGGCGGGGGAGCCGGGGGAGCCCGGGCCCCGCGCGCCGCGGAAGCCGCCCAGGCCCGAAGUACUUGGGGCGUUCGCAGCCCCCGGUGCGGGGCUCCGAGAGCGGGUGCGGGCCCGGCGCCGAGCGGAGCGCGCAGCCCCGCGCCUCCUCGCCCGCGCCGCCCUCCUCCCACGUUGGUCGCGCCCACUCGGCGCCAGGGUCUCGCCCGCCGCUCGGGAGGGGCCGGGAAAUCCCGCCCGCCGCCGCCGACGUCACUGCUGCGUCACGGGGGCUCGCGCGCCGGGGCUCCGCGCCCCGCGCCCCGCGCCCCGCGCCCCGCGCCCCCCGCCGCGCGCCCCGGCAGGGCCCGACCCUCCGCCUGGAGCGCCCCGUCGCCCGGGGGCUGGGGGGCGGGGUCCCCCGCACAGGAGCCUCCCGCGGCCUCCCCGUGCCUGGGGCUAGUUCCGGGAGCAGCGGUGCGGGGCGCGGCCCGUCUGCGUCCGUCCGCGGAGAGCAGCAGGAUCCCUCCUUGUCCCCGCACAGGAGGCAGCGAGCGGAGAGACGCUCAGUGCCCGGGAAGGUUUACGGGGCUCGCGUGCCUCUCGGGGCGCAGCCGGCUGCCCCCAGGCCGCGGCGGGAAGGCGGGAACGAGCCCCGGCGCUCGCGGACAGCGGCGGCCCCUCCGCGGGGAAGGCUCGGCUGCCCCUCGGGUCCUCAGGAGCGAGCGCCUGGCGGUGGAAAUGCUGAGAACCGCGGGUUUGCAAGUGCCCAUUGAAGGCACAGAAUUAAAUUAUGAAGAAAAAAAAAAAAUGACCAGGGGCCCAGCACCUCCUGCUCCUCCUCCCCACAGGUGGUUGGCAAAAUCCUCCUUUCUCGUCAUCCAAACUCCCAUCUCAAGCAAGCCCAAGUAA